UGUCCAGUAGCACCUUAGAGACCAACUACGUUUGUUCUUGGUAUAAGCUUUUGUGUGCAUGCACACUUCUUCAGAUGCAUGCACAUGAAAGCUUACACCAAGAACAAAUUUAGUUGGUCUCUAAGGUGCUACUGGACA
rnacentral:miRNA from 1 species